GGGUCAAUGGUCUAGUGGCAUGAUUCUCGCUUUGGGUGCGAGAGGUCGUGGGUUCGAUUCCCACUUGACCCC
rnacentral:tRNA from 1 species